rnacentral:lncRNA from 1 species
AAGCAAGCCUCCACCACCACCACCAGCGUUGCGUCAAGAACAUAAGGGGUUUCUCAUUAUAAAACAAAAGAAGGUAUAUAGGAGUUAACAAAAGUGGAAAUUUAGUAUUUCACAUAUUGCUAAGAAUAGUUUAAAAAGGCCAGGUGGAAUCAUCCCUUGUGGGAAAAGAACAGAUUUUGGGUAUGAUAAAGAUUUUGAUAGUCGGUAUACUAUUGGGAAAUUAUUGGGUCAUGGCCAAUUUGGUUAUACAUAUGUUGCAAUUGAUAAGUCAAAUGGAGAUCGUGUUGCUGUGAAGAAAAUCGAGAAGAAAAAGGUAUUCUUUUUCAACCAUUUUUUCAUAA